UCCAAGAAUUAGGAGCUGGUGGGCCUGUGGAGCCCUUCCCGACAAUGAAGCUAAUGAGUCCCUCCUUGCUGCUUUCUCUCACACAAUAACAUUUAAUCAUCAUUUGCACAGCAGAUGAGGCGUCCGCGGCAGAUGCGAUUCUGCGUGAGUGGUGAUUCUUGCCUGUGGGCGCCAUUCCUGCUGUCCCAGGCACACCUGACAAUCUGGGGCUGGGGCACACGACACCCUGAGGUGGGGUGGGGGUGCUGUGAGCACCCACGUGCCACGGAUCUGCCUCUGUGGUGUGUGGGAAGUGGGACGUGGAGGCACGUGUCUGCCUGUGGCACCCUGGCCUGGGAAGCAGGAGCUGGGUGUCCUGGCUUUGGGUGAAUUGUGGCCUCCUCUGAAGACCUACAGGAUAUCCUCUGUGUGCUCAGUGGUGCACAUGCAUGUCUGCAUGGUGGAUGCGGACAGGAACACGCCUUAGGGGGCACUGUGUGAGUGCAUCCUGCGCAGUCAUGCUCCUGCAGCCACUGGAGCGUGAACUCCCACUUCAACCCAGGGCUGACAGGGCCACAUUUGCAAAAUGCUCAGCGGCCAGUGACAGAGCUGGCUGGAGCGUGCGGGCUGGCAGGAGCCACGUGAGGUCACGUCAGUAUACACCAGAGAUUCAGAGCAGUGUUGGAUGGUGGUGGACCGGCCUAUUCCACCCCUACCUUCCUUGCUCCCCUGCCCAGCCCACUUUCUGGAAUGUUACCACCUCUCCUCAGCUGCUUCUCCAUCCUCUCUAUGUGUACUUCCUGUGCAGAGAGCUAUGGUUGGGUGGACCUGGGUGUUUGUAACAGUCUCAGGCCCACAUGGUCUCCAUGCUUCCCCUUCCUUCCCCUUCCUUCCCCUUCCUUCUCCUUCCUUUCCCCUCCCUCCCUCCCUC